ensembl:antisense Dhx58os DEAH (Asp-Glu-Ala-His) box polypeptide 58, opposite strand
AUGGUGUGGCCAGCAGCAGGGAGCAGAGAGGCCAGGCCAGGGAACUGUUUAAAGAGGCCCCGUGGCCACAGUAGCGGAAAGGCUAGAGCAGGGUGGGGGCACCGUGGUGGUUUGGAGCAGGAAGCUGGACCUGGGUUGGUUACGUGGAAUUUGGCUGCUUCGAAGUAAAAAGAAAGGUGUUGAUUCAGCCCUGCCCUUGUUCACGCUUCUUCUGUGGGAGGGCGUUAAGUCUCUGCCUUCCCUUUAAGGUCAACAAGACAGACAAGGGUCUACCUCUCCAUCAUUCUGAACCCCAGUUCUGCUUCCCAGCCUAUGACUGGGCUUUGUCAUUGAAGAAUAUUCUACCUCCAGAUUCUCAACAGAGGCACCAACCCUGACCUGUUGUCUGCAGGUCCCGAUACCCCUUAUUUGCUUGAAGGAGAAGAGCCCAGAAGUGACAGGAUGCUUUGCCACUUUCUAUGAUCCUGAGACACUCAUCCAUACUGUACCUGAGUUUCCUCAAGAGAGUGCGAGCCAGAGAUACAGAUCAACACGCCUCAGUGGAGAGUUAGAGAUACGGUGAACCUGGGGGGGCGUGGACUCACAUCUGUCAUCCCAGGGCUUAGGAAGCUAAUACAAGAGGACUGCUCCCCUUGCCUUGACAAUGAUGCCUUCAUGGCAAUCUGGGAAAGCAGGCUAACAAUCAGAUUUCUCUGCUUCCAGCGAGGUCAUUUCUGCACCGCAAGGACUGACCAUCGAGACACCGGACCUCAGCCUGCUUCCAGCCACGGGCCUGUAAAACAGUGCACUAAGCAAGCAUUCUAGCGACUGAACUGUAUCAGCCCUGAGAGUGCGGCCCUGACGCUCAGCCUGGUUGACUCUACACUUGACAGGAAGCAGCCAGAGCAGAAUGCUCGAAAGCACAGCCCCAAGUGGGCCCCUGCCGCUCCCUGGAUCCCGCCUCGCCCCGCAGAUGUAAGUCAAAGAUGUAAGUCGCAGAUGUAAGACACAGCCAGGAGGAGAUCGGCUUUGCUGUCCUACCCAGGAGGGGACACUUAGACCUGUUGAGCCAUCACCAGGCGCCAGGCACUGGGCUAAACACUCUUCGUGUGUAGUCUCAUUAAAUCCCUGCAGCUACCCUAUGAGGUCACUCCCGUAGCCCACUGCCACCAUACAGUUGAUGCAGAGAAGUUGCACAUGCUCCGGUAGGAACUGCCCCUGCUGGCUCUCCCGACGGGCUGCACGUGCCGCUCGCUUAACUAGAGAUGCCCUCUGCAUGUCCUGGAUCUGGAGAAGAGGGCGGGGGACAGGACUUGGUCAUGGACACCAAGAGACCCAACCUCAGGAAAGCGCUCAGAGUCCCCAAAGACCCCAGAUCAUUUGUGCCCAGACCCAGAUGGGGCUUGUUUUUUGAGACAGGGUCUCUCACUGAACCUGAAACUCCCUGCCUCAGAUAAGCUGGCUGGCCAGCAAGCCCAGAAAUCCUCCUGUCUGUCUUCCCAGAGUUAAGGUCACAGAAACACAUUACUGUGCCCAGACUUUUACUGGACUGGGAAUUCGGGUCCUUGUGCUUGUGUGGCCCUUGACUGACUGAGCUAUCUCCCCGUUCCCGUUAAUGUUGUGUUGUGUUCACCCUUUAAAAAAUGUCAUGC